rnacentral:tRNA from 1 species
GGGCGAUUAUCUCAGUUGGUUAGAGAACCUGGUUUACACCCAGGGUGUCGGGGGUCCGAGUCCCUCAUCGCCCACCA